rnacentral:rRNA from 1 species
GUGAGGAAUAUUGGACAAUGGGCGCAAGCCUGAUCCAGCCAUGCCGCGUGCAGGAAGACGCAUCUAUGGUGUGUAAACUGCUUUUGUACGGGAAGAAACACUCCCUCGUGAGGGAGCUUGACGGUACCGUAAGAAUAAGGAUCGGCUAACUCCGUGCCAGCAGCCGCGGUAAUACGGAGGAUCCAAGCGUUAUCCGGAAUCAUUGGGUUUAAAGGGUCCGUAGGCGGUUUAAUAAGUCAGUGGUGAAAGCCCAUCGCUCAACGAUGGAACGGCCAUUGAUACUGUUAGACUUGAAUUACAAGGAAGUAACUAGAAUAUGUAGUGUAGCGGUGAAAUGCUUAGUUAUUACAUGGAAUACCAAUUGCGAAGGCAGGUUACUACUUGUGGAUUGACGCUGAUGGACGAAAGCGUGGGGAGCGAACAGGAUUAGAUACCCGUGUAGUCC